rnacentral:rRNA from 1 species
GAUAAACGCUGGCGGCGUGCCUAAUACAUGCAAGUCGAGCGAACGGACGAGAAGCUUGCUUCUCUGAUGUUAGCGGCGGACGGGUGAGUAACACGUGGAUAACCUACCUAUAAGACUGGGAUAACUUCGGGAAACCGGAGCUAAUACCGGAUAAUAUUUUGAACCGCAUGGUUCAAAAGUGAAAGACGGUCUUGCUGUCACUUAUAGAUGGAUCCGCGCUACAUUAGCUAGUUGGUAAGGUAACGGCUUACCAAGGCAACGAUGCAUAGCCGACCUGAGAGGGUGAUCGGCCACACUGGAACUGAGACACGGUCCAGACUCCUACGGGAGGCAGCAGUAGGGAAUCUUCCGCAAUGGGCGAAAGCCUGACGGAGCAACGCCGCGUGAGUGAUGAAGGUCUUCGGAUCGUAAAACUCUGUUAUUAGGGAAGAACAUAUGUGUAAGUAACUGUGCACAUCUUGACGGUACCUAAUCAGAAAGCCACGGCUAACUACGUGCCAGCAGCCGCGGUAAUACGUAGGUGGCAAGCGUUAUCCGGAAUUAUUGGGCGUAAAGCGCGCGUAGGCGGUUUUUUAAGUCUGAUGUGAAAGCCCACGGCUCAACCGUGGAGGGUCAUUGGAAACUGGAAAACUUGAGUGCAGAAGAGGAAAGUGGAAUUCCAUGUGUAGCGGUGAAAUGCGCAGAGAUAUGGAGGAACACCAGUGGCGAAGGCGACUUUCUGGUCUGUAACUGACGCUGAUGUGCGAAAGCGUGGGGAUCAAACAGGAUUAGAUACCCUGGUAGUCCACGCCGUAAACGAUGAGUGCUAAGUGUUAGGGGGUUUCCGCCCCUUAGUGCUGCAGCUAACGCAUUAAGCACUCCGCCUGGGGAGUACGACCGCAAGGUUGAAACUCAAAGGAAUUGACGGGGACCCGCACAAGCGGUGGAGCAUGUGGUUUAAUUCGAAGCAACGCGAAGAACCUUACCAAAUCUUGACAUCCUUUGACAACUCUAGAGAUAGAGCCUUCCCCUUCGGGGGACAAAGUGACAGGUGGUGCAUGGUUGUCGUCAGCUCGUGUCGUGAGAUGUUGGGUUAAGUCCCGCAACGAGCGCAACCCUUAAGCUUAGUUGCCAUCAUUAAGUUGGGCACUCUAAGUUGACUGCCGGUGACAAACCGGAGGAAGGUGGGGAUGACGUCAAAUCAUCAUGCCCCUUAUGAUUUGGGCUACACACGUGCUACAAUGGACAAUACAAAGGGCAGCGAAACCGCGAGGUCAAGCAAAUCCCAUAAAGUUGUUCUCAGUUCGGAUUGUAGUCUGCAACUCGAUUACAUGAAGCUGGAAUCGCUAGUAAUCGUAGAUCAGCAUGCUACGGUGAAUACGUUCCCGGGUCU